rnacentral:rRNA from 1 species
UGAGUACAGUGGCGACCGGGUGAGUAACACGUGACUAACCUACCCUCGAGUGGGGAAUAACUUCGGGAAACCGGGGCUAAUACCGCAUAACACCGAGAGGUCAAAGAAGCAAUUCGCUUGGGGAGGGGGUCGCGGCUGAUUAGCUAGUUGGCAGGGUAAUGGCCUACCAAGGCAGUGAUCAGUAUCCGGCCUGAGAGGGCGCACGGACACACUGGAACUGAAACACGGUCCAGACUCCUACGGGAGGCAGCAGUGGGGAAUUUUGCACAAUGGGGGAAACCCUGAUGCAGCAACGCCGCGUGGAGGAUGAAGCCCCUUGGGGCGUAAACUCCUUUCGACCGGGAAGAUAAUGACGGUACCGGUGGAAGAAGCACCGGCUAACUCUGUGCCAGCAGCCGCGGUAAUACAGAGGGUGCAAGCGUUGUUCGGAAUUAUUGGGCGUAAAGGGUGCGUAGGCGGUGCGGUAAGUCUUUUGUGAAAUCUCCGGGCUCAACUCGGAGCCUGCAGGAGAAACUGCCGUGCUGGAGUAUGGGAGAGGUGAGUGGAAUUCCCGGUGUA